UACAGAGGGUGCGAGCGUUAAUCGGAAUUACUGGGCGUAAAGCGCACGUAGUCGGCUUUGCAAGUCGGUUGUGAAAUCCCCGGGCUCAACCUGGGAACUGCAUCCGAGACUGCAUUGCUAGAGUAUGGGAGAGGGAAGCGGAAUUUCCGGUGUAGCGGUGAAAUGCGUAGAUAUCGGAAGGAACACCAGUGGCGAAAGCGGCUUCCUGGUCCAGCACCGACGUUCAGGCACGAAAGCGUGGGGAGCAAACAGG
rnacentral:rRNA from 1 species